CCUACGGGAGGCAGCAGUGAGGAAUAUUGGUCAAUGGACGAGAGUCUGAACCAACCAAGUAGCGUGAAGGAUGACUGCCCUAUGGGUUGUAAACUUCUUUUAUAUGGGAAUAAAAUGUUCCACGUGUGGGAUUUUGUAUGUACCAUAUGAAUAAGGAUCGGCUAACUCCGUGCCAGCAGCCGCGGUAAUACGGAGGAUCCGAGCGUUAUCCGGAUUUAUUGGGUUUAAAGGGAGCGUAGGUGGCUUGUUAAGUCAGUGGUGAAAGUUUGCGGCUCAACCGUAAAAUUGCAGUUGAAACGGGCAGUCUUUAGUACAGUAGAGGUGGGCGGCAUUCGUGUUGUAGCCGU
rnacentral:rRNA from 1 species